rnacentral:rRNA from 1 species
UAGCUUGCUACAGAUGACGACCGGCGCACGGGUGAGUAACGCGUAUGCAACCUGCCUUUGACAGGGGGAUAGCCCGGAGAAAUCCGGAUUAAUAUCCCAUGGUAUUUACGAAUCGCAUGGUUUGUAAAUUAAAGAUUUUAUCGGUCAAAGAUGGGCAUGCGUGACAUUAGCUAGUUGGUAAGGUAACGGCUUACCAAGGCUGCGAUGUCUAGGGGUUCUGAGAGGAUGAUCCCCCACACUGGUACUGAGACACGGACCAGACUCCUACGGGAGGCAGCAGUGAGGAAUAUUGGUCAAUGGGCGCAAGCCUGAACCAGCCAUCCCGCGUGAAGGAAGACUGCCCUAUGGGUUGUAAACUUCUUUUCUGCACCAAGAAUGGUUACUACGUGUAGUGAUUUGACGGUAGUGCAGGAAUAAGCAUCGGCUAACUCCGUGCCAGCAGCCGCGGUAAUACGGAGGAUGCAAGCGUUAUCCGGAUUCAUUGGGUUUAAAGGGUACGUAGGUGGCCAAUUAAGUCAGUGGUGAAAUCCUGCCGCUUAACGGUAGAACUGCCAUUGAAACUGGUUGGCUUGAGUACAGUUGAGGUAGGCGGAAUGUGUAGUGUAGCGGUGAAAUGCUUAGAUAUUACACAGAACCCCGAUUGCGAAGGCAGCUUACUAAACUGUAACUGACACUGAGGUACGAAAGCGUGGGGAGCGAACAGGAUUAGAUACCCUGGUAGUCCACGCUGUAAACGAUGCUCACUCGCUGUAUGCGAUACAUUGUAUGCGGCCAAGCGAAAGUCUUAAGUGAGCCACCUGGGGAGUACGUUGGCAACAGUGAAACUCAAAGGAAUUGACGGGGGCCCGCACAAGCGGAGGAACAUGGGGGUUAAUUCGAUGAUACGCGAGGAACCUUACCUGGGCUUAAAUGCAGAUUGACAGACGUCGAAAGAUGUUUU